rnacentral:rRNA from 1 species
GGAUCAAUAUGCUGGUCGUGCCUUUGGUACGUACUGGUAUUAUUGGUUUCUCCUUUCUGAUGAAUCACGAUGUCAUUAAUUUGGUGUCAUGGGGAAUCAGGACUGUUACUUUGAAAAAAUUAGAGUGUUUAAAGCAGGCUUACGCUUGAAUACAUUAGCAUGGAAUAAUGAAAUAGGACGUUUAAUUCUAUUUUGUUGGUUUCUAGGAUUGACGUAAUGAUUAAUAGGGAUAGUUG